ACCUGCAAAUUCCUUUCAUGCAAUCUUCCAUGUGUCUUCUAUGGAAGAUUUCUCCCUGUAUCUUCCAUGCAACAUUCCAUGUGUCCAACAUAUUGUAUCCAUGUUUCUCUAUAAAUACCACCAAUCAACUCAUCUAUCACCACCAAAUCAACCAUCAUCUCUCUUGACACAAAGAUGACUAACUCAGGGUGACUCAAUUCAUGCAACUGUUAGGAAAAAUUUGAUCUCCCAAUUUAAGGAUCAACUUGAAGAAGGAUGUGCUUAUGUUUUUGAAAAAUUUAUGGUUGCUUGAAACCAAUGACAAGAGAAAAAAGAAUC